rnacentral:rRNA from 1 species
CACCAGAGAUGGUGGUCUCUUUGGACACUCAUGUACAGGUGGUGCAUGGUUGUCGUCAGCUCGUGUCGUGAGAUGUUGGGUUAAGUCCCGCAACGAGCGCAACCCUCGUCCUAUGUUGCCAGCACGUGAUGGUGGGGACUCAUAGGAGACUGCCGGGGUCAACUCGGAGGAAGGUGGGGAUGACGUCAAAUCAUCAUGCCCCUUAUGUCUUGGGCUUCACGCAUGCUACAAUGGCCGGUACAAAGGGCUGCGAUA